rnacentral:rRNA from 1 species
CCUACGGGAGGCAGCAGUAGGGAAUUUUCCGCAAUGGGCGAAAGCCUGACGGAGCAAUACCGCGUGAGGGAAGACUGCCUAUGGGUUGUAAACCUCUUUUUUCAGGGAGGAAUUUUGACGUGUACCUGAAGAAUAAGCAUCGGCUAACUCCGUGCCAGCAGCCGCGGUAAGACGGAGGAUGCAAGUGUUAUCCGGAAUCACUGGGCGUAAAGCGUCUGUAGGUGGUUAAACAAGUCAACUGUUAAAUCUUGAGGCUCAACUUCAAAAUCGCAGUCGAAACUGUUUGACUAGAGUAUAGUAGGGGUAAAGGGAAUUUCCAGUGGAGCGGUGAAAUGCGUAGAUAUUGGAAAGAACACCGAUGGCGAAGGCACUUUACUGGGCUAUUACUGACACUCAGAGACGAAAGCUAGGGUAGCAAAUGGGAUUAGAUACCCCAGUAGUCCUAGCCGUAAACAAUGGAUACUAGAUGUUGAACAGAUCGACCUGUGCAGUAUCAAAGCUAACGCGUUAAGUAUCCCGCCUGGGAAGUAUGCUCGCAAGAGUGAAACUCAAAGGAAUGACGG